AACGGUCUAUACCUGCGGUACCUGCGGAAGGAUCAUUACUGAAGUGAUUUGGGGAUGUUGCUGGCCCUCUCUCAAGGGGGGGCACUGUGCACUCCUCGAAACAAUUCACAAUUUCCAUCACACCCCUUGUGCACACCUUGUAGGCACCCAAACCCCACCUCCGGGUGGUGGGGUCCUAUGUAUUCCUUCAUCUCACACUCUGUUGAAUGGUGCCAUGGGACGCAUCUAAAGGAUUAUUUG
rnacentral:misc_RNA from 1 species